CAAGUGCGAGUACAAGUGACAAAUUUAAAGAAAAACAAAAUAAAAUAAAUAAAAACUAGUAGAAACACAUGAAACAGAUAGAGCUAAAGAACAAUAACAAAGCUGAAAAUUUGAUAUUCACUCUCAACAGGAAACAAAGAUUGUACGUCAGUUCCUACGACAAUUAAAACAAGCAGACUCUAAUAGAAAACAUAUUAAUCACAAUUGCAUCAACUUGAACAUUGGCAACCACAAUAUGUGAAUCAUUUUCUUUACUUUGAAGAGCACGAAACAGUAGAAGUAAACACAAACAGUCUUUUCAAAUGCAGAACUAAUUCAGAAACAGAUAUUCAAACACGAACCCAUUGAACAAUAACUAUUAGGAUCCUGCAAUUUCACAAUUCUUCUUUAAGUCCCAAACCCAACGUCACUGGCUCUUAUCACAUUUUCAAUUGAGCAAAAUUGGCACAAAAGAAUCAGAAACGAACCUGAAUGCGUGCUAAUUUCGAUUAUGUCUUGAAGUGAAUACAAGCAGAGGGAAAGCUUAACAUUGAAUUCCAAAAAGACCAGAAACAGCUAUUGAAAUCCCUAAUUGAAUUAGAACCGCUACGGAAUCCACAAUGAACAGCAACGAUGAUAAACUCGAACCAUGAAACUUGAAUCGCGCUCGACUGAGCCUCCGGCAUCGAAUAAUCGCAUAUUUCAAAAUUAGAAACCAAAGAAUAAGCUGAAAAUGUUUAUGUUUAUGUUCCAAAUCAGACCCACAGAACUGAAGAAGAAUAAGAAAAUCAAAAGCUAAAUCUGGGCCUCAUUUUUUUUACUUCUGUCCAAAAAUUGGCCUGAAUUUUCAGCCUAGUCCAUGUGUACCGUGAUCGUGGGGUGGAAGAUGGUUGUGGCUGAUUGUUGCAUUUUGGUUGAAGAACGGCUAAAGGAGAUGGAAAAUAUGGUCGUUGGUUCGAGAAGAAGCUGAGUAGUGGCGAAUUGAGGAAAACGAUGAUUGGAGGUCCUUAGCGGCUGAUUGCCCUCUCCCUGUCUUUAGCAAAAAGAGAGUAUACAUAGGCUACUUUCCCCUUUUGACACUUCCACCUUUUGGGAAUACCAAC
rnacentral:lncRNA from 1 species